rnacentral:rRNA from 1 species
CCUACGGGAGGCAGCAGUGAGGAAUAUUGGUCAAUGGUCGGGAGACUGAACCAGCCAAGCCGCGUGAGGGAGGAAGGUACAGAGUAUCGUAAACCUCUUUUGUCAGGGAACAAAGGCGGGGACGUGUCCCCGGAUGAGUGUACCUGAAGAAAAAGCAUCGGCUAACUCCGUGCCAGCAGCCGCGGUAAUACGGAGGAUGCGAGCGUUAUCCGGAUUUAGUGGGUUUAAAGGGUGCGCAGGCGGUCUGUUAAGUCAGCGGUCAAAGCUCGGGGCUCAACCCCGGCCCGCCGUUGAAACUGGCAGUCUCGAGUUGGAGAGAAGGAUGCGGAAUGCGCGGUGUAGCGGUGAAAUGCAUAGAUAUCGCGCAGAACUCCGAUUGCGAAGGCAGCAUGCCGGCUCCACACUGACGCUGAGGCACGAAAGCGUGGGUAUCGAACAGGAUUAGAUACCCCUGUAGUC